GAUGAAGAACGUAGUGAAAUGCGAUAAGUAAUGUGAAUUGCAGAAUCCAGUGAAUCAUCGAAUCUUUGAACGCACAUUGCGCCCGCCAGCAUUCUGGCGGGCAUGCCUGUUCGAGCGUCAUUUCAACCCUCGACCUCCCUUUGGGGAAGUCGGCGUUGGGGACCGGCAGCACACCGCCGGCCCUGAAAUGGAGUGGCGGCCCGUCCGCGGCGACCUCUGCGUAGUAAACCAACUCGCACCGGAACCCCGACGUGGCCACGCCGUAAAACACCCAACUUCUGAACGUUGACCUCGAAUCAGGUAGGACUACCCGCUGAACUUAAGCAUAUCAAUAGCGGAGGA
rnacentral:misc_RNA from 1 species